GACGAACGCUGGCGGCGCGCUUAACACAUGCAAGUCGAACGGAAAGGCCUGCUUUCCCUUGUGGAUUGCGGGUACUCGAGUGGCGAACGGGUGAGUAACACGUGAGUGAUCUGCCCCCAACUUGGGUAUAAGCCUGGGAAACUGGGUCUAAUUCCCGAUAGGACUGCAGGGUGGUGCCUGUGGUGGAAAACGAUUUUCUAGUGGUUGGGGAUGAGCUCGCGGCCUAUCAGCUUGUUGGUGGGGUAAUGGCCUACCAAGGCGGCGACGGGUAGCCGGCCUGAGAGGGUGGACGGCCACAUUGGGACUGAGAUACGGCCCAGACUCCUACGGGAGGCAGAGAUGGGGAAUAUAGCACAAUGGGCGGAAGCCUGAUGCAGCGACGGCGCGUGGGAGAUGACGGCCUUCGGGUUGUAAGCUCCUUUCGACCGCGAGGAAGCCACCUGGUUGGAAGGGUGGUGACGGUAGUGGUAGAAGAAGCACCGGCUAACUACGUG
rnacentral:rRNA from 1 species